GGACUACUGGGGUUUCUAAUCCUGUUUGAUCCCCACGCUUUCGUGCAUCAGCGUCAGUUACAGUUUAGUGAGCUGCCUUCGCAAUCGGUGUUCUAUGACAUAUCUAAGUAUUUCACCACUACAUGUCAUAUUCCGCCCACUUCAAAUGUACUCAAGUUCUGCAGUAUCAAUGGCAAUUUCCGGGUUAAGCCCGAAGAUUUCACCACUGACUUACAAAACCGCCUACGCACCCUUUAAACCCAAUAAAUCCGGAUAACGCUUGGAUCCUUCGUAUUACCGCGGCUGCUGGCAC
rnacentral:rRNA from 1 species